UACAGAGGGUGCAAGCGUUGUUCGGAAUUAUUGGGCGUAAAGGGAGUGUAGGCUGCUUGUUAAGUCUUCUGUGAAAUCUACGGGCUCAGCCUGUAAAGUGCAGAGGAAACUGGCGAGCUUGAGUGUCGGAGAGGAUAGGGGAAUACCCGGUGUAGAGGUGAAAUUCGUAGAGAUCGGGUGGAACACCAGUGGCGAAGGCGCCUGUCUGGCUGACAACUGACGCUGAGACUCGAAAGCAUGGGGAGCAAACAGG
rnacentral:rRNA from 1 species